CCUACGGGGGGCUGCAGUGGGGAAUAUUCCGCAAUGGACGAAAGUCUGACGGAGCAACGCCGCGUGAGUGAUGAAGGUUUUCGGACUGUAAAGCUCUGUUGUUUAGGACGAAAGUGCCUGCUGCGAACAGUUGCAGGUAUUGACGGUACUGAACGAGGAAGCCACGGCUAACUACGUGCCAGCAGCCGCGGUAAUACGUAGGUGGCAAGCGUUGUCCGGAAUUAUUGGGCGUAAAGAGCAUGUAGGCGGGAAUCUAAGUCUGUUGUGAAAAUGCGGGGCUCAACCCCGUAUGGCGAUGGAAACUGGAUUUCUUGAGUGCAGGAGAGGAAAGGGGAAUUCCCAGUGUAGCGGUGAAAUGCGUAGAUAUUGGGAGGAACACCAGUGGCGAAGGCGCCUUUCUGGACUGUGUCUGACGCUGAGAUGCGAAAGCCAGGGUAGCGAACGGGAUUAGAUACCCGUGUAGUC
rnacentral:rRNA from 1 species